CCCUGGAGCUUAGCGGAAGGAAUGCACGCUGCAUUAUGAGUCAGACAAAUUUGGAUUUGAAUUUCAGCUUGAGCACAUGCCAGCUCUGUGGUCUUUCAUGAGCGCUUCGACGUCAGUGCGGCAGUGUCGUCUGUAGAAUGGGAGAAUCUGAUGUGUGUGCUAGAUGUUUAUCCAUCUCCCUGUGGAAGAAUGACUGAGGAGGGGUGGAGAAGGGAUGAAAUCGGCUUUCGGUUUUUAUUCUAUUCACAUUCUAUUUAUACGUCUUUUUUUUUUUUUAAGAUUGUUUGUUUUUCUUUGAGGCAGGGUCUCAGUAGCUCUGUCUGACUUGAACUGUGUAGAACAGGCUGGCCUUCCACUCACGGAGAUCCGCCAGCCAUUGCUUUCUGCAGUGUUGGGAUUAAAGGCCUGCCUGUGCCACGCCUGUCCAACCUGGUCUACAGGGUGAAUUCCAGCCAAGGCUGGGGCAGGGGGAAGUGGGGAGAACAUAUAGGGCAUAGUAUUGCACGUUUUAUAAUCUUAGCACUUGGGAGGCUGAGGCAGGAGAGGAGGACUACUGCAAGUUCAAGGGCAGCCUGGGAAACCCAGCAAGUUCUAGGGCAAGCUGGGCUACAAAGUGAGAUCAUCUCGGUUUCAACAACAAUGAAGUACCCGAGCAAGGGUUGAGAGAGAGCUCAGCCACUGAAGGCCAGGCUCACCACCAAUGUCCAAACACUCAACACACAAGUUCUGGCAACAUUGUCUUGCAACCCGUAAAACAAGAGGCCCCUGGUGCACCAGACUAAGGUUUCUUGGAUAUAUCUUGUACUUUGUUUAAAUUCUUAAGGCUCCAAGUCUAGUUUGAAGAGAUCCUGCCAGUGGAAAUGGCCACUUUGGAGUUAAGGUGUUAACUGUGGGAGCGGAGUCUAUCUCAGACAAUGGGUGUGUGUAUAUAAACCAUCCUCUGGCCCGCGGUGCGAUUCAUGCUGAAGCUUUGCAUGCAGGGUGCUCUGGGUUCCGUUCCCAGCACUGCACGGAACCAGGAAGAAAGCAAAUCCUCCCAAUUCCCUUAGGACAAGCGCCUCCACUGGGGUCUCUCCUUGAUCCUCCUCGGUUCCAGCGUCUGUGCCUCGGAAGAGCCUGGAAAAGCAAUGAAAGCAAUGGGUUAAUGCUCCUCUCUGGAGGUGUGGCUUCUCCAGGGACCGCUGCGGACACACAGUCCCAACCUAGCGGUGUAUUUAUAGAGUUGUUUUCUCAGGGAAAGCCCCUUUGCUUAGAGGGCGCAAAGGCGGAUGAUCAAAGGCAGCCUGCCUCGUGGGGGCGGGGCGGGAAGAGGUUUUUAAGCGGCUUUCAGCGCUGACCCUGGCGAUCGAUCGAUCGGCCUGACCCUGAUUAUCAGCAGCCCCUCAUCUAGGAGGACACCAACUGCAGGACAGGCAGGCUCUACCGCCAGACAAUGGGAAGGCGGUGGAGGGGGAGGACGGGAGGACGGAAGGGCUGUCUUUGACAUUUGUAACUCUGAGAGCUGAAGGGCACAAAUACUCCUUUCCAUUAAGAAAUGGCUGUGUACCAAAGAGCCAUACAGCUGUCAACUCCCUGGACUUGGGGGUCUAGGGAACUUCUGAUGACUCAGCAACUUGGGAAGGGUAAGUUUAAAAUUGUGGAUCCCAUCUCGGACUUAAAGCGUUUUGUUGGGGCUGGGGAUUUAGCUCAGUGGUAGAGCGCUUACCUAGGAAGCGCAAGGCCCAGCUCCAAAAAAAAAAAAAAAAAAAAAAGCGUUUUGUUUGUUUGUUUUUCUUUUGUUUUUUUUUUUAAUAGAAAGAUUAUAUAAAACCUGGGCCUAGUGGUUCAUGCCUGCUAUCCCAGUAUUUGGGAGCCUGAGGAAGAAGGAUUGCUCCAAGGCCAGCCUCAGCUACAGAGAGAGUUCCAGGGCAUCCUGGAUUAGAGUGAGAUCCUGCCAUUAAAGGACAAGCUUGGGGCUGGAGAGAUGGCCUAGCAGUUAAGAGCACUGACUGCUCUUCCAGAGGUCCUGAGUUUAAAUCCCAGGAACCACAUGGUGGCUCACAACCAUCUGUAGUGAGAUCUGAUGCCCUCUUCUGGUGUGUCUGAAGACAGCGACAGUGUGCUUAUAUAUAAUAAAUAAAUCUUUAAAGAAAAAAACAAGCUAAGAAGAUUAUUCAAGAAGUAGAUGUUCACUCAAAAGCAUCUCUAAGGGAGGAGCAAAUUGAAGACAAAGGGUGCUGACCAAUCAGGGGUGGCACAGCCUGCUUGCAGUCCCAGCACUUGAAAAUCGGAGGUGGGGAGAUCAGAAUAUAUAAUAUAGGCAGGCAGCCAAGGCUACUUUAUUCCCUAAGGCCCAAACAGACAACAAAACCACACUGAGCAGACUCUGUUCAGAACAGGGUGCCCCUCUCUGCUAGCUAGCUUUCAGAAGGUGCUGUGUGGCAGACAUCAGUGACCCUACUUGGUGGGAAGGGUAGGGACCCAGGGGGUCCCUUCAUGCUAUAAUACCAAUGUGCCAGGCAACCUCUGCUACAGGCGCAAUAGCAGGCUAAAUAGCAGCUCUCUGGUGGGAACAGAUGCCUGGUACUGCAAUUCUGGUGAAAAGACCAUGUCUUGCCAGGAGGCCAGAGGCCCUGGGGUGGAGCCAGCCCUUCUUAUUUUACUGAAUGAGCAUGCUCAGAUUGUCCUCCACUGUUCUAUGUUGGUACCCAUGGACUUGGGCUGAUCUCAGCCUCGGUCAGAGAACCUGGUUUUUACAGUGAGUGGUUGUCAGUGCAAGAUGCACCCUCGGUUGCAGUUGACAGCCCAAGAUUGAAGGAGCCCUGCAAAGAAGCUGAGGCCUGGCAUUAUGAAGAGAGCCUAUAAGAGGCUAUUGGUGAUGCCUCGUUGCCUUGGAAGACCCCAGCAUGUGGUAAAUGCCAGUACCAUGGGAUGAUCACCAAGAACAGCAAGAGUGGAGUGGAGUCAACCGUAACCUAGAAUGCUACAGAGGACAGAGCCAGAGAAAUGACCUAGGCCCUUUGGAGGAGCCCAGAUCAUGUGUGGAUCCCAGAUAUUGGAGCAAGAAGCUUUAAAAUUGAAGUUGUCGUGGAUACUCCAAGAUGUUAGAGAUGUUGGAGACAUAGGAUACCUGCUGCUAACUGGGAGUGGAACCAACCCAAGAGAAUGAAGCUUGUUGCUGCUGAGUGCCAGAUCUGCCAACAACAGUCAACAAGCAUGAAAGGAGUUGGAGAUCUGAGCAGUUCUUUUUUUUUCUUCUUCUUCUUCUGAGUUCUUUGACAUUGGACCUGGAGAUGUGGAGUUUGGAGUUUACCCAAUUGGUUUUCAGUCUUACUUUGGUCCAGUAUUUCCUUGCUGCUAUGGUAUUUUGGAACAGUAAUAUAGAUCCUGGAAUGUUGGAGGCAUGGUUCUGCUUUUGAUGAAUCUCAGAAGAGACUUUGAAAUUUUUUUUUUUUUAUUCUUUUUUUCGGAGCUGGGGACUGAACCCAGGGCCUUGCGCUUGCUAGGCAAGUGCUCUACCACUGAUCUAAAUCCCCAACCCCGACUUUGAACUUUUAACAUUGUUGAGACUUAUAGACUAUGAGGACUUUGGAAGUUGAACUAAAUGUAUUUUUUAUUAUGCUAUGGCUAAGUAUGGCCCCUAUAGACUCAUAUGUGUGAACAAGUCUAUGCCAGGGAGUGGAAUGUGGUGGUUUGAUUAUGCUUGGCUCAGGGAGUAGCACUAUGAGGAAGUGUGGUCUUAUUGAAGUAGGUGUGACCUUUUUGAAGGAAGUAUGUCACUGUGGGGGUGGGGUUUGAGACCCUCCUCCUAGUCAGUCUUUUCCUGUUUGCCUUUGGAACAAAAUGUAGAACGCUCAGCUUCUCCAGUGCCAUCCCUGGUUGGGCACUGACACACUUCCUGCCUUGAUGAUAGUGGACUGAACCUCUGAACCUGUAAGCCAGCCCCAAUUAAAUAUUGCCCUUUAUAAGAGUUGCCUUGGUCGGGGUUGGGGAUUUAGCUCAGUGGUAGAGUGCUUGCCUAGCAAGCGCAAGGCCCUGGGUUCGGUCCCCAGCUCCAAAAAAAAGAAAAAAACAAAACAAAAAACAAAAAACAAACAAACAAAAAAAAGAGUUGCCUUGGUCAUGGUGUCUCUUUACAGCAAUGGAAACCCUAACCAAGAAAGAAGUUGGUACCAGGAGUGGGGACAGUGUGAGUGCUCAGCCCUUUGUGGAACACCUGUAUUAAUUCAUUCCCCCAACCAAAGCUCCGAAAGAAUGUAAGAGGUGGAGGGUGGGGAGGAGUGCUGGGAAGUAUGUCAUGAAGUCACAGCAUGGCUACUUAUACAAGAUUGAGCCAUUCAAAAUUCUGCUAUAGAUAGGGGCAGAAGCAGGCAGAUCUCUGAGGUAAAGGCCAGCCUGAUCUACAAAGAAAGUUCCAAGACAGUCAGGGCUACACAGAGAAACCCUGUCUUGAAGAAAAAUUAGAAAUGAAGAAAGAAGAAAGAAAGAAAGAAAGAAAGAAAGAAAGAAAGAAAGAAAGAAAGAAAGAAAGAGAGAAAUUGGGCUGGAGAGAUGGCUCAGUGGUUAAGAGUACUGACUGCUCUUACAGAGGACUUGUGUUCGAUUGUCAGCACCCAUAGCAGGCAACUUACAGUCUCCUGUGUAACUUUAAGAAAUCCAACAUCCUCUUCUGGAUUCUGCAGGGACCUGUACUCACAUGUGAACAAACCCACAUUUGCACACAGACUCACAUAUAUAUUCAUUUCAUUUAUUUUUUUUCCGGAGCUGAGGACUGAACCCAGGGCCUUGUGCUUGCUAGGCAAGUGCUCCUAUCACUGAGCUAAAUCCCCAGUCACAUAUAUAUUCAUAAUUAAAAAGAAAAUACAGAAGCAAGCAAAUAAACAAAAAAAAAACCCAAGGGCCAUUCAGUGGUGGCACGCGACUUUAAUGCCAGCACUCAGGAGGCAGAAGUAGGCAGAUCUCUGAGUUUGUGUUGUCAUAAAAUUAUAAAAAUAAAAGACUGUCUUUUUCCCCCACUAGGUCUCUAGCACCGUAGUGUCCCAAGAUAUCUGAUAGAUAUCUUAAUCUCAGUCAGCAAAGCCUCUCACCUGCUCUGCUCCAUCCCAUAUCACAGUGCCGAUGACUUCUCUCUGAGUCUGGCAGCAAUCUCUCUACCCAUCCAGUUCCCAAGGCAGGCUGCCACCAUACCAGACAUAUACAUCUCAAUUCCAUGGCAGUGCCACUACAUACUCUCUUAAACUUAAUUCGCCACAAGAAAGAACACACAGCACAAUAACCUCUGAUCCAAUUGAUAAGAUAUAAUUGCCCACCUAGACAUACAAAGCCCCGUACACAUCCAUCCCUUAAGAACAUUCAUAACGGGCUGGAGAGACGGCUCAUCGGUUAAGAGCACUGAUUGCUCUUCCAGAGGUCCUGAGUUCAAUUCCCAGCAACCACAUGGUGGCUCACAACCAUUUGUAAUGGGAUCUGAUGCCCUCUUCUAGUGUGUCUGAAGACUCAUAAAAAUAAAAAUAAAUCUUAAAAAAAAAAGAACAUUCAUAACAACCUAUAAAAGUACAGAGUGGAAUCUUUACAUCAGCUUCCAUAUUCUCUCUGAGGCUUCCUCUGCCCUCCUGUUCCAGUCCCCUCCUCUUCCCUCAAAAUUUUCUCCCGCCCAUCCUUCCUUCUCGUCCAAUGAUAGGCCUCGUUCUAUCUUGUACCUGGCUUCACCCGCAUAAUGACAUCAUCCCACAAGUUUGAGGUCAGCCUGACCUAUACAUUGAGUUCUAAGACAGCAAACCAAACAGGGAGAUCCUGUCUCAAAAAAAAAAAAAAAAAAAAACAAACAAAAAAAAAACAAAAAACAAAACCAAACCAAACAAACCCUCCCCACCUCUAUCCCCAGAGCAUGUCGGUUCAAUGAUAAAGAGUUUCAGAGAAGGCUCAGCAGUUAAGAGCCCCAUCUACUCUUGCUGGGGACCCAGGCUCAGCUCCACGCGGUGGGUUAUGGUGGCCUGUAACUCCAGUUCUACGAGGUCCAAUGCCCUCUUCUGGCCUCCUUGGACAUGAGCACCAGGCACACAUACGGUGAACUUACAAACAGACAGGCAAACAUUCAUACAUAAAAAUUAAAAAAAAAUUGACCCUAAGCUUCAGUUCCCGCUUCUAUUCCUGCCUCAGAGCUUUAAAUGCUGUACAUUUCUCUCAAUAAAUGAGACCUUGACAACGAAAAAAAAAAUUAAAAAUAUUUUAAUAAUAACAACAACAUGCUCUCUGGACUUAACUCAGUGGCCAAGCUGAUAGGGCUUAGCACUUGCCCAUCAAAGCUCCAGGCUUGACCGCUGGCACCAAAUCAAUAAUGAUUUAGCAACAGAUGUGUAUUCGCUCUGCCUGCGACCGUUGUAAGGGUCCUGUACACAUUGCCACUCUGUCUUGUAGCUCUGUGUGGUGAUGACUGUUACUCUAUUUAUAGAUAUGCAAACAGAAGCAGUCCUAAAUCGGAGUGUGAUGGCCUGCCCAUGCCUGUAACUCUGACGAACUCGACCCCUUGAGCUCAGGUGUGGGAACACCCUGAAAGACUUGAGGAGAAACCAGUCUGCCACCCGUCCCCGGCCUUCUCCCUCUUGCUUUUCUUUUCCUUAUUUAAGACUUUUCUUGCCUUUAUGUGGGUGGGUGUUUUGUCUACAUGUAUGCCUAGGCUCUAUGUGCAUCUAUGGAAGCCAGAGGAGGGGGACAGAGACCUGCCACAUGGCUGAUGGGAAUCAAACCAGGGUGCUCUGCAGGAGCCUUAACUGAUCCACCAUCUCCUUAGCCAUGGUCUUGGGUUUUCUGUUGUAUGUGUGUAUGUUUGUCCUAUGUCUCAAAUUUGCUAUGUAGACAAGAUAGAUCGACCCUAAACCUCAAAUGUCCUUGUUCUACCUCCCCAGUGACAGGUGCGGGACACCUGCCAGCACUCUUGUCUACAUGUCUUUUCUACAUGUCUGUCUUUCUAACCUUUUGAGACGUUCCAAUAAUCUCACUCAGUCACUUCUUUCUUGCACAGAGUAACUGUAAUUCUAGCACUGACUGAGGCAAGAGGAUUGAGAGUUCAAACCUGCCCCGAGUAACAUAGUGAGUUUGAGUCUGCUUGGGUGUUGCAUUAAACACCAUCUCAAAGUGAAUUAUCGUAUAAGAUGUUAUCCUUUCUCACGGAAGUGCUGAUGCCGAUACCAGUCUAUACAGUUAGAACCCCGGAAGGAAUCCUAAGCUAUCGGCCUCUGGUAUGUGGCCACGGCAACCGUUUCCUGAAAGUCUGUCCUCUAUCUUUCCUCCUCUCAGAGUCAUGCUUUGCUCAUCUCUGUUCUUCCACAGGCAAUGUUCCAUUCACAACUGUGACACGCCUGGCUGUCGCUAGCCCUGGUUUCCCGGUCCCGUCAUACUAUCAUACUCAUCGAUGAUGCCCUUCUGACCUUUAAGCUUUGGCUUGACUCAGCUCACACUGCACUGUUCUGGAGGAAACCGCCACCUCCUGUUGUCUCCCCCAGGUGCCUGGAAGGUGGACCCUCUACCAUGUGUACUCCGAGUCUACCCACCAGACCUGGCACACAGUAGGUGUUUAUUGCGCAGUGUGGGAUGAGUCCAUAAGCAAGAAGUAACGAGUGCUUCCUACACCACUCUGGCCACGUCCCAGCACUUUCUGGCCGUUGUCUCAUGCCAUUGUGCGUGAACUGGUUCUUGGGCAUUAAGACAAUGAGGACAGGACCUAUUGGGUAGGGUGAGGACUGAGGUGUGGAUGGGUACCCCGGACUCCCAGAUGCUCUGUAAAGUCCAAACUGCAAAGCCAAAGUCCUUCCUGGCUUUAUCUCUGUAUUGUCAUCUACUGGGCCAGCCAGGCCCAGAUGUCCCCACGCUGAGUGUGUUUGCUCUCUGACAGGGCUCUCAGGACAGGAAGUACAUACUUAGGAGAUUGGAUGGACUGACCACGCAUGACCUUGACAGCUAGAAUUACAUAAUCAUCAGUACAGUGGCAAUUAUGCUAAGUGAGUUUGAAUGCCUAUAAAUCUCCCUACAUUUUUUUGCUUGGGAAACAAGGUCACUAACUAGAACGUCUGGAUUAGGCUUCUGGAAUGUUCUCAGCUGAUUGGAAAGAUGUCUUUGGUGUUGUCUUGACAUAACCAUUUUACAGAAUUUUGAAACUUUAUCGUAUGUAUGAAUGUUUUGCCUGCAUGGGUACGUACCUGGUGCCCAUGGAGUUCAGAGUAGGAAUCCCCUGGAGCUGGAGUUGGCCACCCACACGUAGGUGUUGGGAGCCAAGCCCAGGUCCUUUGCAAGAGGAACAAGUGUUCUUGACUUCUGGACCAUCUCUCCCGCCCCCAUUUUACAUAUUUGAUCAAAUGGUAUUAGCUAUGACAACGGAGGGGGAGGGGUUGAGGAUUUAGCUCAGUGGUAGAGCGCUUGCCUAGGAAGCGCAAGGCCCUGGGUUCGGUCCCCAGCUCCGAAAAAAAAGAACCAAAAAAAAAAAAAAAAGGGACGGGGAUAGGUGGCUGGGAUGCCCUCCUACCAUCAUGGAGUCCUACCCCUGGGGUCUUAAUGAACAAAGUAGCCACACAUGUUACGGGCUGGGAAGCCCACUCUAGUACCUGAGACUUUGCUGUUGUUGAAUGGCCACUGGGCCUAGAGACACAGGCACAGUGCAUGAGAGGGAGCUUUGCCUUCUGUGAGGCCUGCGGUCUUCAGCAUUUUAUGCGCCGGCUUUCUCCUCUAUGAAGUCUGGACUGUGUAUCUAUUCAUAGGUUGUCAUAAGAACCAAAAGAGAAAGCAUAUGUGUGGAAGCUGUAGUCACCUACAAAAAUAGCACAAUGUUAUUGUUAAUGAUGCUGUAAGAAAAAGACUAUUUUUAGCUGAAGUGCCACUUAAAGUUGCCUGUCUCGACACCUGUGGUGCUUGACUGUGGCAGCCUUUACUUCUCAUAGCAUAUUCAUAUACGUUCAGACUGGGUAGCCAUGAUGGUCAGUAAUACCCAAGCUUCUGUUCAAGGGAUUCUAGGAUCGUGUGUGGCUAUCUGGAUGAACCCUGCCUUCUAUUUUUGUUGUUGUUUUCUGAGACAGGGCAUCACUAUAGAGCCCAGCCUGACCUUAAACUCCUCCUACCUCUGCCCCCUGAGUGCCAGGAUUAGGUACAUAGAGCUAGGACUUCAACCAACUGGACACAGGGCUUCUAAACUUAGCAGGUUUCCUGGACUGGAAGCAGAGGUCAUCCUGGGCUGAGGAGUUUGAAUGGUUUUUGAGGACAGAUGCUCUGAGAGAGAGACAAGGUCAUGGAAGGAGGGGUGGGCACUGCCUAGAGGUGGGGAGUCAGGCUGUGGCCUCAAAGCGUGUUGAGAAUACAGAGGAACCUAUUGUUUCGUCCUCCAGUCUGGAACUGCAGUUAACUGCAACCACAGCUGAACUGUGACCAAUUCCCAGAUCAAUGACAGAUGCUGGAAUAAGGGUGGGAAAUAUUACAUUUUGUCUGGAGCAAGUAAGGUUAUAUAAACUCACCUUCCUUCUCAAAGCGUCCUUUAGGACAACAGGAUGAUUUGUGUGAUAAUCGGACCUGUCAACCCAUCCAAGAAAUUAAACCAAGAAUGCGCCACGCACAGAGAUCAGCUCUGGAGGUGACGAGAGCUCUAUCAGUCAUUGGAGGGAGUGCCUCUUUAAGAAUUAGGGAGAAAAGCAAGGAGAUGGGGAGGGGGUGAAAGAUCAAGUAGAACAAAUUAUUUCCAUCCCUGGAGCCUCUUUUCUUCCUGGGCUGCGGUGGGUCAGAGCUCUGGCCUCAGCCUUAUCAUGGGAUCUUCCCCAUCGAAGUCUUGUUCUGACGCCUAGGCAUUUCCUGGUGUUUCCAGGGAGAGCCAGCUCAGUGUCAAAUUAGUCUUGACAAAUUGCCCUGGAGACGCAAGAACGGCAGACACAGAAGGGCAGGAAGAAGGGGCAGACACAGAAGGGCAGGAAGAAGGGUGCAAACUCCGCUGUGGUCAGAGGUGGGCCCGGCAGCCACAGGAGAGGCAAGAAUUUCAUACAUGCCAAGGGCCUGAAGUCAGAAGUAGAAGCGCCCUAGCCUGCUGUGAGGGAAACAAGCUGAGGCAGGAGGGAACUUGUCUGGCCUCUAACCACCGGCCUCAAACCAUGCCAGUGGACAAAGAAUAGACCAAAAAGGGACCGUGUCUGCUCCAGGGUGGGCAGUCUUGUUUGCUUAUGUCCCCCCUUCCCCCCCGAAGCUGUUGGACCUGGUUCUCCAGCCCUGUAACUCCUCACCAAGCUUUUCCUUCUGGACUCUGUCCCCUUUCCAGUUUUACUGUCCCACACAGACCAAGCACCCCCAGCCAGGGCCCUGCCACCUCCUUAGAGGCUUUAACUUUCUUGCUGGGAAGUUUGCUGGACACCAGAUAACAGCUUUACACACACACACCCACCGAUCUUUCCAACAAGUCCACUCUGAUUUGUUUCCCCAUAACAACUCAGUUUCCAGGCCAGGAGUUCACUGUCCCACUUGCCUGGGUAGAGUUGUUUGUUUUGUUUUGUUCUUUUGUUAACCUGACACAAGAUGGAACUUAAGUGAGAAAAUGCCCCCCAUCAAAGUCUCCUGUAGGCCAGUCUGUGGGCUCAUUUCUUGGUUAAUGACUGGUGUGGGAAGCCCCAGCCCUCCACUCGUGCAUAGUUCUGCCCCUGGGCUGGUGAUCCUGGGGUUGUAUAAGAAAGCAGGCUGAGAAGGCCAGGGGCAGGCCAGUCAAUAGCACCCCUCAUGACCUCUGUUUUAGUUUCUGCCUCCAGGUUCCUGCCUUGGCUUCCCCUGAUGUUGAAAUGUUGAACUUGUAACCUGUGACCCAAAUAAACCCUUUCCUCAUCAAGCUCUUUAUGGUCAUGGUGUUCACCACAAUAGAAAGCAAACUAAAGCAGACAUGGAUACCAGGGUCAUGAGAAGCGGCUAUGACAGUCCUGCCACAUUUUGAGGAGGGUCCUGGAAGGACUUUAGAACUUUGGGCUAGAAAAGCCACUGAGUGUUCAGAAUGUAGGAGACUGUGGCAGUGUGGACGAAGGAGGUUUGGUUUAUGACGUCUCAGAGAAAAGUAAAAACUGUCAGGGCCAGUCAUUCGUUUAUUAAAAAUCUGUGAUUCUGGUCAUCUGGGGCUGAAGAAUCAGCUAUAAUCAAUAAGAGACCAGAACCACUAACACCUGGAGUCCCUGAAGACAGUCGUGAGAGGCCAUUGGUAAAGGUAUAUCCUUAGCUGCAGUGGAGAUCCUAGCAAGCUGGAGAGGUCAGGACCAUGGAAUGACCCCCAUGCAGCAGCAACUGUGGAGUGGAGCUCAUCUGAGCCUAUGAGAUAAGCUAUGUGUGCGCAGAGGGCAGAGCCAGAGAAGUGGGCCAUCCAAGGGCCUUUGGGGCCCAGAAGAUCUUGAGUGAGUCCCACACGUUGGAUACCAAGAUAGUUACCUUUUUUUUUUUUUUUUUUUAGAUUUAUUUACUAUUAUAUUUAUAUGAGUUCACUGUAGCUGUUUUGUUUUGAUUUGAUUUUUACUGUGUUCUGGAGCUACCCUUUGGUGAGAACAUAUAUAAUCUAUUUUUUCAUUUGUUAAUCCUGAGAGUCACAAGAGAAACACCAGUUCCACAAUUUUGAGCCAAAUUUGAAGCAAGCUUUAAUUAAACACUGACCAGGAUGGGCUUUGGUCAGGAAUUCCCAGCUGAGUGGUCCUGAGACACAUGUUGCAAAAACCUUUAAGGAUAAACCGAGAAGGUCACAGUAUUUUCCCAUGUGGCUUUGUUAUUUUCUAAGAACUACAACUUCUAGCAUCCCAGGUCCUUGGACAGGUGAAGCCGAGAAGUUAACUUUUGGGUCUUACACAUUUCCCAGGAGGCCACAGUUAAAAGAUUGGAUUUUUAGGGAGAUUUGGUUUCUCCCUCCAUCCCCAUACCACUGUUUUAGUUUUUUGUUUUGUUUUGAGACAGGGUUUCUCUAGGUAGCCCUGGCUCCCCUGGAAUUCGAUCUGUAGACCAGGCUGGCCUUGAACUCAGAGAUUCACCUGCCUCUGCCACCAUGCUGCUAACUUUGCAUUGGGAGUCGUUCUUUAGGUUUUCCUUUAAAAGUUCUCAUGAGUCAGCCCAACCCAGGCCAGUGUCAAACAAGUAGAGGGGUCGCUGAGCCCUCUCAUGUCCCACACUGUCCUCUCUUGGCUACACAGCCUCCUGCCAGAUAUUUAGCCCCUUUGCCCUCCGUCUUCCGCCCUGAGAGGGACAGGCACCCCUGUACAGGCCACCUGGAUAGAAGUAGGUGACCAUUUUCAGAAGCAUGAAUGUCACUUAAGUCCAGUGACUUCUGGGUAAUAUCCGUAGUAGAAGCCCAGAGAGACCCACAGUGGACAUGCUCCCCAUAAUGGUCCCUCACCAAGGUCUGUCCUCUCUCUGUCCACUCAGCACAUCCCCCCAGGGACAGUGCUCAGAGCCUUCACGUGCCUCGUACCCAAGCUCUGCACAGGCAGUUUAGCUUCUUCAUGUCAUUUCAACUCUUCAGGACAUGGGGUCAUAGACUGAUGGAGUGAGGGAUACAUGGGAGAUGCUUGGCUUUAAGAGCAGAACCGGGGGUUGGGGAUUUAGGUCAGUGGUAGAGCGCUUGCCUAGCAAAUGCAAGGCCCUGGGUUCGGUCCCCAGCUCCGAAAAAAAAAAAAAAAAAAAAAGACGAGCAGAACCAGAGUCAGAACAUUGGUCUGCACACUCCCAGCCCAGCUCUGUCACCCCUCACAGAAGGUGACUUUCACAAGUGGGAUAUCUUCUUCCACUGUGUGGGUCCUCGUCUUCAGGCCUUAUCCACUGAGCCAUCUUGCCACUCUUGACAAUAAACACUUUGUCUAGACAGGUAUGAGGGGGUAUGCUCUCAUCCCCCUUCCUCAGAAGAGGAUGCCUUGCAGACCUCAAGGUGGAAGCAGAGGUCAGGGGGAGCUGGUCUUUUAUUAAUUGACUGUUAAACAUUUUUUGUUUUGUUGAGACACAGCGUAGGGCCAGGAGGCUGACCUAGGCUUCUCACCUUGUUAGGGACUUGUCAUCAGUGACAACAUGGCCUCAGGUUUCUGAAGGUUUGAAAACCAAAUGAGGUUGGUGGCUGCGAAUGUUUGAUGGUAGAGAACAGAUGGGCCUUCAGGGCUGGCCAGAGCCCGGCAACCCAAGCCAAGACUCUAGGGAGGUCGAAGAGAACACUCUCUUCCCUGCCUCCCACUAUGGGGAAGUUGGGUGUGGACCUUCGGGAAAGCCUUCACUGCAAGGCGGGCACAGGCUUCACAGAGCCACUGAUGCGUUGAGCUUAGCAGUGUUCAUGAGGUUAACAGCAGGCAGGUCAGUCAGUUUGGCUUCUUCCCAAAAAGGUGAGGGCUCAGUGGAGCCCAGGAUGUGGGCAGAGGAGGACUGUGCCCUUGAUGACCUGAGCAAAAGGCAUCAUUGUGUAAGGAUCUCUCCAAGAACUGUGUGUGAAAGAGGCCUUGAUGGGGCGCAGCCUUCUACAAAAGUUCCUUGAUGUUGAAACGAGAGCAUAGGUCAGGGGAACUCGGGCCACCCAUGGGCCUGGAGGGAGGUGUCUCACUGUCCACCGUGAAUAAGAAAGCAAUGUUAGGGAUGCAGAGAUGGUUCCCCCUGGACCAGGGGACACGUCAGCCCCUUCCCCUUCUCCUAUCUGUUCUCCAGUGAGUCUUUUACGGCAGAGGUGGGAUCUACUAUUUACUUGUUUUUUGUUUGUUUUGGAGUCUCAACUAGAUAGACCCAGUCAGCUAGAAACUCACUCAAUGGUCUUAACCUCAUGCUGUCCUUCCGCCUCAGCCUCCCAAGUGUUGGGAUUCUAACAUAUGAGCCGCCAUGCCUAGUUUAACGUUUUUGCUUGUUUCUUUUCUUUUAUAAUGCUGAGGUUCUAAGCCAGGCCCUUAUCAUAGUAGACAGCGUUUAGUGAAUGCUGUUCCCAAGUUACACAUUGCUUUCAGGAUUAGUUUUCGUUUGGGACAAUGUUUCUUAGAUUGGUCUGGAACUCCUUGGGACUGGAGGGGCCCUUCUCCUGCACCUUCCCCAGCAGCUGGGAUUUUUCUUCUGUUCUUCACGGAAAACACGAUGACCAGUACCACCUCGGGACCUUUGUUUAAGCCAGAUUCUUCAACAGUUACACUGCUGCCUCCUGGCCUUUCCUGAGUCAGUGCAAACCUUAUUUACUUAAGAGACAGCCCCAGUCGGCUUUUCUAGGUUUGGGCAUCAACCCAUGUCAGCAUCCUUCCUGUUUCCUGAGCUCGUUUCUUUUUAAAGAUUUAUCAUCUACUGAUGCCCACUACAUGGCGGGGGUGAGGCAGUGGAUCUCUGAAUCUGAGAGCAGCCUGGUCUGUGUGGGUAUUUUACUUGCUCCUGUGCCUAUGCGCCAUGAACAUGCAUUACCUCACAAGGCCAGAAGAGGGUGUCAGAUCGCCUAAACUGGAGUUGCAGACUUCAGAGCUGCAGUGCUGGGAAUCAAACCCUGAUCCUCAGGAAGACAGCAAGGUUAGGUCCCAAACCCCUAGCCCCCAAAAUGGCAGCACUCCUGCCGGUGUCCCCAAAUGACAGUCUGGGCUCAGCUCAGGCGGACUCAGGGAAAAACGAAAGUUUGCCUGUGGAUAAACAAAAGCUUACACUCAGCAUUCUCAAGAAACCUAUGCGGGUUGGGGAUUUAGGUCAGUGGUAGAGCGCUUGCCUAGGAAGCUCAAGGCCCUGGGUUCGGUCCCCAGCUCCGGGAAAAAACGAACCAAAAAAAAAAAAAAAAAGAAAAGAAACCUAUGAAAUGGGUUUCUCUCUGCCAGGAAGAGCCGUUUCCCUAAUCUAUCCCUGCCAAACGGGGCAAAUGUGGCAACUAGUUCCCUAUCAACUAUAACUGUAGCACAUAUCGAAGGCCCUGGGCUCUUUCGGCCACCAAUCUCCCUACCACCACUCUGAACUAACAGGCCGUUCUGGCUUGUAUACCUCCCCCACAAGCUCUCCCCUCUUUCUAUAACUGGCAAUGUUUCCCUACCUUGUUGACCCUUGAGAGCUAGUCUUGGCAGUUUGAAUAAACCUUUCCUUUCCAACCACAGGAGUGGUCUAAUUCAGCUGCUUCACUGCGACUUCCGGUGCAAGCCACAAGUGCUCCCAAGUGCUGAGCCAUCUCUUUAGCCCCUCUUCCCCCCCCAACCCCCCACCAAAUCAGGGUGUUUGACUUGUCACUUUGCCUCUUUUUUUUUUUUUUUAAAUCAAGGUUGUAUUGUGUACCCUGGCUGGCCUGGAACUCAGUGUAGACCAGGCUGGUCCUUCUGCAGUACUGGAAUUGAAGGCAAAUUACCUUGUAUUUUAAACUAAUUUACAGCUUAAUCUUCAUUAUCAGGAGCUGUUCACCAGACUUUGCCCUUGUUUAACAUUUCUCAAACCUUUGAACAGGUUUGGCUAACAUUGCACUCAGCAACUACCUGGUGAGUCCACACAGGACCAACUGGACCGACUGACUCUCAGUUCUCGCCAAGCCCUGUUGCUCCCUGGGGCUGGCUCCGGCCGCUCCGGGCGGCUCUGGGCGGCUCCGGGCGGCUCCAGGGGGCUCCAGGCGGCUCCAUGGAACCCCUGGCUCAAUCUGCAGAGGUCAGGCCUUUCCCGCUACAUGGAGUCUGGCCUCAUUUUCCCACCACGCUCAGCCACUCCCUCCCCAAUCAGCAUCUAACAAAAACUCUUUUGUGAUUUUAUGCCUGGGGGAUUUGUCUGAGUCAACCGCUGAAGCGAUUCCCGCAGAGCUGAGUCCAAAGGUCUGCUCAAGGUUUCCUUCUCCUAGUCCAGAACCCCGCCCUGAGGCCCCGCCCUGCCCCGAAGCUCCGCCCUGCUCUGGUUCGCCCUGAAGCCCUGGAGCUGGCCCUCUACUGCCCCUUCACGGUGGGAUCACUGGGGUCUAGGGAAUUAGAGGAUCACAUAAGACCAAAUGAGUAAAUCUAAGGCUGGGAACUGUGAGUUUGGGAAGACUGGGGGAUCAGGAAGGCAGGAUCGUGAAACUAGGAGGAGGCUGCCGGCCCUGGGAGAUGGCACGCAAUCUCCUGAAGUACCCCUGCUACGGUGGUGCUUCGCCUGUAAAACAAGAUUCCUACAAGGUUAUGGACAACCUUUUGGUCUUAUGGGCACAGUAGAAAGGAUACUUUGUUUUGGAAAAUAACUUCCUUACUGCCAAGCCUCUCAUCCCAACCUAUCUCCCUCUACUCUCUGAAGACCUGUCAAUUUCCCAUGGGGGAGAGGCUGCCUCUUGCUAAGUGCACUUAUAAAUAUAGUGUGUCUUAGCUGUUGAAAGACAGGCUCCCGUCUUUUCUGCCUCCUGUUCCUUUAAGCUGCCUUAGAAAUAUAACAGUUUCAGUAAGUCUGACUUCUCUGUAGACUUGACAGGUUCGCGGGCUGCAGGUUGCUGAACACAGUUAUAAUAAUUUUUAUGACUGCAUUUGCACAUUCAAGCUUUUUGUUUACUGACAUAUGCUAAUUACCUGUAACAACAGACUUCAUCACACUAUUUUCAUACACAAAAUCAAAUGCAGUUGAUCAUUUUCACCCCAAUACAUCCUUGUCCUAAUUUACUCCCUGUUCCUGUGAAUAAAGACUAUGAUCAAAGCAACUUGGAGAGGAAAAGGUUUGCAUCUUACAGGCAGCAGUCCAUCACUGAUGACCCUCAGAGCAAAGUCAAGGAAGGAACCUGGAGGCAGGACAUGAGGCAGAGGUCAGGAAGGAACACCUGCUACUCGUAGCUUAAGAUGGCCCUGAGUUGGGAGCUGGACAGCUACAGUGUACUCAAAUAAAUAAAAAAUAUUAAAAAAAAAAAAGAUGGCCUUGAGUUACAGCUCCUCCCACCUGCAUUUCUUAAAUCUUGGGGUUACAGUUGCCACUGUGGGGGUGUGACAGACAGCCCUAACCCAAAGGCACUGUGGUUUCCCCCGCUCAGAAGUGAACUACUUGGGGCUGGGGAUUUAGCUCAGUGGUUAGAGUGCUUACCUAGGAAGCGCAAGGCCCUGGGUUCGGUCCCCAGCUCUGAAAAAAAGAACCAAAAAAAAAAAAAAAAAAAAAAGAAGUGAACUACUCUGUCCUAGUCAGACCUGACUAAUAACUGAGACACAUCCCUGUGGUGACUGAAGAAACUUAAUACGGAGCCAGGCACACCCCAAGGGCUCUAGGGGCCAAAAGGUUGUACCUGGGAGAUGCAGUAGGGGGACAAUAGAGUGGGUGAGGGGCUAGGCUAUAGGAAGUGCAAAUACACAGAAAACAUUAAAAAUAUUACAGUUGUGUGCCCGGGCAAGCCUAGUGGCCUGCAGGUGAGAUUACAAUAGUAUAUUAACAGCUUCCUUUUAAAAAGAUUUUAAGAUUUAUUUUAUGUAUAUGAGUACACUGUCACUGUCUUCAGACACACCAGAAGAGGGCACCAGAUCCCAUUACAGAUGGUUGUGAGUCACCAUGUGGUUGCAGGGAAUUGAACUCAGGACCUCUGGAAGAGCAGUCAGUGCUCUUAACUGCUGAGCUGUCUCUCCAGCCUCUGGUGCUUCUUUACAAUAAGUUUCUGUCUGGUCAUAGAGGAAGCAGACAAAAAAGUCAUUAAAUGAAGGAGGAGAGGUAGAUAUAGGAGGGAUGGGAAUAUUAAUUGGCCCCUGACAGCCUGCUAUAGAAAAAUUUCUAGAUCCCACUUGAAGGGGCUGUUUGUUAUAAGUGAGGGUUUCUCGAACCUCGAGUCUCCAUAUUUACAUGUUACCCUGGAGAGAAGCAAACAAGAGGACAGAGAGGAGACACCCAGGUCCACUCCAGGAAAGUCGAGCAUGGCAGCCGGAGUGAGGCUCACUCUUCUGGGACUGGGGACAAGGUGGUUGGUCUUGGCUUCCUCUGAAACUUAACGGAGCAGGGUCCUGGUCAAGCUGAUAUGUAUGAAGACAUGGAAGGCAUAUCUGGAGUCUGUGUAGAUGUUUAAGAAUUGUCCUAGUGCUAAUUGGAAAGCAUGGGUGAGAGCUUUUAGUUCAGCCUGCUGAUUAGUGGUGUGGGCAGGGAGGGCCUGUCACCUCUGUAACUGACACUGUGUCAUAGCCAGCUUUUUGGAAUCCCUCAUGUACUAAGGAACUGUGGUCUGUGUACCAGGUAUAGAUGGCCUGAGGCAAUGUGCCCUCCCAUAUGUGUGAGGGGUGAGGCAGUCGUUCCUCUAAGCUUUCAAUGAAAGAAAGAGAUGGGGAGUGGUCUGUGUUUGGUCAGGAGGAAGAUUUGAGAUAUUAAGAGGUGGGCAUGAUUGGAAAGUAAGUACAGAGUCUUCUACUAGUCCCACCCAGAGAGAAAGAACCCCAGAGGGAGGAAGAGUUUGUAAAUCUUUGAAUGUUAGGAGGUGGGACAGGUUGUGGAAGAUUUUUGGGAGCUGACCCAAAAGUCAAUUUUUUUGAAUUUGUGAAUGAGGCAGGAGCUCAGCAGUGGCUAAAGCACACAGGCAGGGUGCCCAUCCUUGGGUGGUCACACAGGCAGGGUGCCCGUUCCUGGGUGGUCACACAGGCAGGAUGCCUGUCCCUGGGUGGUCAGGUCUAAUUUCUUUGAGUGUAAGGCACGGUGCAAAGGAGGCUCGCAGUUGGUGGCCUAGGAUCCUGAGGGCCGAUCCCCACCCUUUGUUACAUAAAGGGGGAAGGGCUGGGUUAGGUCUAGGAGGUAUAAGGCUGGGCCUGAAGGAUUAGGUGCUUUGUAUCCAAGGUGCUUUGGAGGUUGGAGUGAUCGUUAGUCCCAUGUAGGUGACCUGAGGUGUGGACAGUGAGACGUUAGAUGCUGAGACUCUGUAGCCGGAGCUGGACAAGAAGUUCAGAAGAGCAGAGGUGCUAGUUUGACUAAUUUGUGGGGAUGGACUGCAGAGAAGAAUUUAUCUAUGUCCUGUAUGGUGCAGAUUUUUGGGGAGAGGUAAAGAGAGUAGAUCAGAGGCCAGGACCUGGCUAAAUAGGUGUGGUCUGUCCCAGAACCCCUAGGGUAGUCCAGUCUAGGUGAGCUGGGCAGAGGGGUGGGUGUCAGGAACGGUUGAGGUGAAAGCAAAAAUGAUUUUUGACUAGGUAUCAAGGGGGAUCAAAAAGAAAGUUUUGGGCUGGAGAGAUGGCUCAGUGGUUAAGAGCACUGAUCGCUCUUCCAGAGGUCCUGAGUUCAAUUCCCAGCAACCACAUGGUGGCUCACAACCAUCUGUAAUGGGAUCCAAUGACCUCUUCUGGUGUGUCUGAAGACAGCUACAGUGUACUCACAUACAUAAAAUAAAUAAAUAAAUCUUAAAAAAAAAAAAAAAGGCCAGCACUUCUGACUGUGGAGUGAGGGGUCCCUUUUCCAAGCACCUAAGCUUGGCUCUAAUGUUGGGGAAACUCUGGGAAAAGUCAUAGGUCAUGAAGAGCUGUUUACCCUCUUGGUUUUUGGGGUAUAGGUUGGUGUACUGUAAGAAGGCCUUUGUGAGGCCUUCUAGGAAUUGAGACAGGUUUUCAUGUUUGGCCUGGAUGACCUUUUGGAGUUUCUCAAGAUUUACUGAUUUAUGGGUAGCCUUAAGAAGACUGGCCAGGGGGUUGGGGAUUUAGCUCAUCGGUAGAGUGCUUGCCUAGUGAGCGCAAGGCCCUGGGUUCGGUCAGAGCUCUUGGGGGGUGGGGGGGGGAGAAGAAGACUGGCCAGAGGGCAAGUUGUAAACUGAAGUCUAGCUAGAAUGGCCCCAGGGUAUUGUAGUUCUAUUGGGGAUCCUCAUUAGGGACCUUUAACUUUAAUUUUUUCAAAUCCUAUUUUAAUGAUGGUUCUUAAAAGCUUUAACCCACCCACCCCCCUUGUAGCCUACCACCCACCAGAGGUAGGGGGAAAGAAAGGAUAGGGGGGAAGUGAACCUGUUUAGAAGGGUUCCUUGGAGCAACUCCCGUCUGUGUUGUUUGGAAGUCAGCAUUCAGUUCACAGGUCGGCAGGCAGCAGCAGCUCCAUAGCUCAGUCCACUCACAAACACCUCACGGAUACACCAGCAUCCAGUUCAGGAGAGUCAGGUUAGCAACAGCAGUGAUAGGAGCUAGCAGAGACAGCCAGGCCUCAGCCUCUGCUCAAGUCAACAGGAGAGACCAGAAGGAACACCAGGAGAAAGGCUGUGCCUCUCUCAGGGCAGUGAAGAUCAGCGAAGACUGGAGACCCACAAGCAUGGCACAGCUAGCUGUACCAGCAAGCCAAGCUCUGUCUCCAUCACUCCCUGGAGUCCUAUGUAUACCCUCCAAACACCACGUGUCCUCCACGUGCUGUACCUCAGCACAGGCAUCCAAUCAGCCAGAGUCCUUGGAAGCCACAACUUCAGCACACUAACACAAGUUUUCGUUGUGUUUCUCUCUAUGGAGUCCUGACAAAUGGAGCUCAACUAUGCAAUGUAAGGUGAACCAAUACAUGUGUGUCAUUAGCAAAGAAUCCUACAUCACGUGUCCUUUCGCAUGCUUGCUUUAACAGAAUAUCCUCUCUCCUGUGUCUGCUUCACGAGUCUACCUUAGCCUUUCAUACCUGUAUCCACUUUAACAAAACGCUCCUUCACGUGUUUGCUCCAGCAGGACACCAUCCAACCGACCAUAGGAUGGUCACAGAGGUCACAGAGGUGAGACUACAGGGCUGGCUCUCUGCAACGAAGGAUCAGGAAGUUUGUACUCUCUGCGUGGCUGAGAAGUUUUUCACCUACUAGAACCCGGCUAGGGUAGGGGAAACAGGUGCCCUCCAAAACUAGAGUGCGAACUGCAGCCUACGUCCCACUGCAGCUCAGGAGCAACGUCAGGUAAGGAGCAGGAUAUAACACUUCUUAAUGUCCAACAGAGCUGCUCAGUAUUUUACUUUAAAGGGUGGUUUUUACAUAUUUGUUGUUGGUCGUCGUGUUUUCCAAAAGGGUGUUUUGACUAAUAAGUGUCCAUGAGGAAAUGAUGAAUUCCUCAAAGAAAAUUGCCCCCAUUCUUCUCGGGUUGUUAAAGUUUCUUGGAUUCGGUUUGGAAAUAAUGCCAAAUAGAAUUUGCACCUAAGGCAUUGUUUUGUGUUCUGUUCCUUCAUUCUUCUUACAUCUACCCUAAGUUGUAUUUGAAAUAUACGCGUGUAUGAAUUGUUUGUAAGACUCCUGGUGUGUAUCUCUGAUGUUAUUUAAUGAGUAUUUAUUUGAGCAGUUAAAACAUUAAAGAUGUUGUGCUAGUUGCUAUAGAGAAUAUAAAAACUCGAAGAUGACAAUAUUUCAAUUCUCAAAAGGUUUAAGAUAACAUAACAAAAGAGGGACUAUAAUAAACAUUUUAAAGGGCAUAAGUAUUAAUUUCUGUUAAAGUACAACUGAGGGGAAAAUCUAGUUCUAAGCAUGUGACAUAUGCAUAAUGGGGAGAUAGAAAUUCACCUUAAGACCUCACUUGUGAGUCUUCAGUAGGCCUUAAAAGACUGGGCAACAUUUAGAGAAGAAAGGAAAAGGGAGAAAACUCCAAAAUAACAAGGAUCACAGGCAGAAAGAAAACAAGAUAAAAAUUUUGAACUAUCGGUCCCCAGCUCCGAAAAAAAGAACCAAAAAAAAAUUUUUUUUUGAACUAGACACAACUAAGAACACCCUUUAAAUAUUAGUCUUUUGACUUCAAAAUUGCUGAUUUUUUUACUUGUCAUAAAAACUGACAUUUACAUCUGACAGUGGUGGCACACACCUUUAAUCCCAGCACUUGGGAAGUGGAGGCAAGUGGAUCUCUAAGUUCAAGGCCAGUCUGGUCUACAGGGCUGGGUAGUACACUGGAAUCUUUUAAGGAAAGUAGAGGAGUUAGAGGUAUAGGACCCCGGUUCUUUCUUAUUUGAGAGAGUUCACUUAAUGAAAAGGGGACAUGUAGCUUGACCAGGCCAUCCAUCCUUGUGACCUCCCAAAAAGGGAGAACUGGGGCUGGGUAAGGCUGGGUGGGGAGACACAGAGGGGUCCCACUGAAGAGUGGGAGAGAGCAGUGGGGGAUUCAAGGCUGCUGGCGGGGUGGAAGUUGGUGUAACAGUGGAAUGGUUAGAGUGGCCUGUGGCUGAGGAGGGAGAAGAGGAAGCUGAAGAAGCCAGCGGAGGAGAGGGAGCUGUGGGCUAGGGCCCUAAGGAGGGGGUUCAUUAGCAAGAUCAAGGGAAGUGGAGGUUUCCUCUGGGUGAGACUUCAUAGCUAGAAGGAGCUGAGUGGGGAACAGGAAGAACAGAGGGAAGGCAAGAAGAGAAAGCUUGGCCAUUGGGAACCCUUUUCAUUUACCGGGUCGCUGGCAGAACUUAUAAAGAUCUCACACAAUAUUGGAAUCUAAUAUUAGGCUACUUAUCUAAGGGGUAUUGAGGCCAAGCUCACCUGCAAAGGCCUGUACGUUUAGAAGCCUUUAAGUCAGGUACUAAGUUUAGGGGUCUGAGGUUCUCCAAAAGACAUCUCUAAAACAGGGGAUCUUGUACGGUCGAAGGCUGACAAAGCCGUUUCCAUGGGUGGGGAGAAGAGUCAGGCCUGAGCCUGGGUGUCCCAAAGACAGGAAGGACUGAAUUGAGAAGGCACAAGCUAUCCAGUGUGUCAUCACAGUGCUGGGCAGUGGCUAGGGCUAAAAGUCCAAACGGAUGCGGUCUAGAAUUUACUAGAGAGAGAGAGAAACCCCAUCUGAAAAAACUGAAGCCUCACCGAAAGGAAAAGGUCAGUUCUGUGAAAAGGGCCAACCUUAAAAACUGUGGCUUGGGGAACAUCCAUUUCCGGGAAUACCAGAGAGAUGCCAGACAUUCGACGGUUACUCCCUCCCAUCCAGGAACGUGUUUAUGCCAACGUCACUGUUGCAUGAAGCGAGGGUGGAGGGGCAAAGAUGGCGGGAGAAAAGAGACUGGCGUUUUAAAAGGGGAUGCGGCGCAUGCGCAGGGGGAAGACAUGCCAUUCGAGAGAGCGUGGGAAUGUGUCGCUCUCUGCAGCUAGUGAUGGAUGAUAUAUCCUACUGUCACUUGGUCCCUGGGCAGGCUGUGGAGAUGCCCAACUGUUCACACAAUCAAAAGCAUGUUUGUUGAAAGAUUGGGAAAUGAGGCUUAGAAUAAUCAAAACCCAGCAACAAUAAUAAUUAUGAAAAUUUAAAUAUUUACUUAGGUAUUUUAUGUUUUGUCUGCAUGUACAUCAGCACACCAGAGCAGUAUGUCAGAUCCCAUGGGACUAAACUGUUGGGAGUCAUUAUGUGGUUGCUGGGAAUUGAACUCAGGACCUCUGGAAGAACAGCCAGUGCUCUUUACCACUGAGCCAUCUCUUCAGCCCCAAUAAUGAGAAGUAUUAACCAACUAAAGAUAUGUGAUGGGUGAGUGUGAUUGCAAAUCAAGACCCCGUCUUUCUUUUUCUUCUGUCUCUCUUUUUUUCUUUUUCUUUUUCUUCUUUUCUUUUUCUUCUUUUUUUUCUUUUUUCUUUUUUUUCGGAGCUGGGGACUGAACCCAGGGCCUUGCGCUUGCUAGGCAAGCGCUCUACCACUGAGCGAAAUCCCCAACCCCUUUCUUCUGUCUCUUAAGAGGAAAACCCCUCUUUGUGCAUGAUUUGCUGAUCCUGGUUCCUUGCUGGUAUUCAUAGCGCCUUGCACAGCUUAAGCGUUACAUGUUAUCAGCUCGUUUAACUGUUAUAACCCUCUCAAGAACAUAAACACCCAAGUAAUUUCCUCAAGGUGGCACAGCCCAACCUCAGGGUCUGAAGUUUUCCUCUCUGCCUGUGUCACACUCUGGCUUAUGGACAAGCAAGGACGUUUUUGCCCAUCAGACACAUAUCCAGUGAGUCUAACCUCAAGUUAGUGGGCCCAUAUUCCUGGAUCACAGACCACUCAGAUCACAUACAUACAUACAUACAUACAUACAUACAUACAUACAUACACACAAACACAUAUACACACAUAGAUACAUACAUACACACAUAGAUACACACAUACAUUCAUACAUACACAUAUAUACACACAUACAUGCAUACGUGUAUACAUACAUACAUACACACAUACACAUAUACACAUACAUGCACAUACAUAUAUACAUACACAUACAUACAGACAUAUACACACAUACACACAUAUACUCAUACACACAAAUACACAUAUACACAUAGACAUACACAUACACACAUACAUAUGCACAUAUACAUAUAUACAUACAUACAUAAACACAUACACACAUACAUAUACAUAUUUAUAUAGACACAUACAUUAAUACACAUAUACACACAUACACACAUACACACUUUUUACUUUCUAGGAAAUUCACACACUCCCUUCACGCUGUUGUCUAAUCCUAACUACCGGCAACCCAUCAGUAACAGAGCAGUUCUAGGACGGGUGCUGAAACCCAGGAACAGUCCUCAGUCUGGAACCAAAAGACAGCGCUCUGAGAGGGUUCACUUACUGCACCUCUUCCUUGUGCUUCAUCUAAGAACACAAAGCAGACAGCUCGUGAGCCCUUGUUUUGGGAUUGCUCUAAUCCCCCAGCCUCUCUCCCGUGCCCAGUGAACUGUGGGGAAAGACUCAUAAUUCUGCCGGCUUCUGCCAAUGCACAUUUAUUCUCCCAGACCCUGCGCAGUCUGUAGAACAGCUCUUCCUGAACCAGAGAAAGCACACACCCAGUUCCCACCACAGCUAGCUCAAAGCCCUUCUAAACGGUGAAUUGAGCUUUAAAAUUUCCACUUCAUCAAAGAGGCAUUACCCUCAGUAUUUUGUCAGGUUCCCUUCCCUACCUGCUUUUUUGUUUGUUUGUUGAGAGAAGGUCUCAUGUAGCCUAAGGUAGUUUUAAAGACCACUGUAGAUUGAACUUCCGAUCCUCCUUGCCUUUGGUUCCUGCGUUCUGGGAUUACUAUUUGUGCCAACACACCUGCUUGCUUUCACUCUUAAUGCUUCUGAAAGGGUUUCACUUGUAGGGCAGACGGCCUCCAACUGUUAGUCCUCUGGCUCCCGCUUCUCAAAUGUGGGGAUUACAGAAUGUGCACCUCCAUGCCCACUUAUCGAUCACCUCUUGAUUCAGGAGCCUGACGCUGGGAGAGGUGUUAGGAUAUUACACUUCUCUUGAUGCAGGGGAGACAAGAGAUGGCUCAGCGGUUAAGAGCACUGAGUGCUCUUCCAGAGGCCCAGAGUUCCAUUCCCAGCAUCCACAUGGUGGCUCACAACCAUCUGUAAUGGGAUCUGAUGCCCUCUUCUGGUGUGUCUGAAGAGAGUGACAGUGUAUUCAAAGUAAAUAAAUAAAUCUUAAAAAAAGAAAAGGAAAGAAAGAACAAAAGAAGGUCCGCUUGGAAUCUAUCAGGAUGAAGGUCAGUUAGAGCCAUUAAAAAAUAAUUGAUGUUCUAUACGAUUUACUAAUACAUUCACUUAGGAGAUACAAAUGAUAUGAAGUAGAAUUUCGCUAAAGGAAGGCUGUUUCCCUGGUGACUAGUGAUAAGUAGUGACUGGGCAGGCUGAUUAGAAAGUGUGUAUUUUAAAAACAUUGUGCUAUGAGUGAAGUUUAGGGUUGCUGAGAAAGUUUCCGCUAAUGUUUAUGCACCACUGAUAAAUGGUGAUUGACCUCCAAUUAGGCUCCAUUCCCAUAACAACAAGAGGACCCUGACUUACGACUGACCAUUAGCCCCAUUCUAUCAAAGACCAUGCCUCUGCAGGAGAGCUCACGAGGCACUGCAAGGUCCUGGCUGUCAUUGAGCCCACUCUGCUCUUAUCAGGGAAGCACGAUUCUAACUGGGCAAAAUGGAUUUGGGAUUGGAUUUGGACCACAAUUCAAGAAGAACAACACUGCUGAACUCAAUAAUCCUGGCAAUGUCUUUGCUGUUCAAAAGAAGGUCGAAUGGGAAGUCCUUAUGAAAAACAAGUUCUCCAAGCAAAUCCAGCCCCUGAACAGCCUUCUUUCACAGGGGCAUGGAAAGCCAUCCUCUCGGGUCUUCGGAGAUACACACGGGUCACA